AUAAUUAUAGAAUGUUACUGUAAAGUGUAGUAUUUGUUUUUAUCAAUUUAAUAUCUGAUAUGUGGGUCAUCGACCGCACUUGAUAUUAAUUUUAUUGUUUUACAGGGAGACAUCCAUUAUCGUAGUUUGGUGAUGUGGUUCUUCAUACAUCGUCUUGAGCUUCUACUACUGUUGCUACAACUUACGCACCGCUC